GUGCUCCUGCUGGCAGCACAUACACUAUAAUUGGAAUGAUACAGAGAAGAUUAGUAUGGCCCCUGUGCAAGGAUGACACAGAAAUUCAUGAAGCAUUUCAUAUUUUU